rnacentral:rRNA from 1 species
CCGUUCUACUCGACCCGCUCUGUUUAAUAGUUUGAUCUUCGGCUCCCAGUGGUGUAAUGUGCNGUAUGCCUAACACAUGCAAGUCUGAACGUGCAGCACACGUGAGAGCUUGCUCUCUGUGUGUGUGCUGAGUGGCUGUGACGUGGUAGAGUGAAUACACUCGUGAAUCUACUCUAGUCGUGUGUGUGUGAUAACGUAUGUGAAACUAUACGCCUAAUACCUGCAUACGACCUACUGUGUGUGAAAGCAUGUGGUGACCUUCUGUGGCCUUUGCUGCUGAUUUGAAUGAGCCUGAUGUCNGUGAUUAGCUAGUUUGGCUGGGUGUGAAUGUGCCCACCAAUGUGCUGACUGAUCCGUAGCUUGGUCUGAGAGUGAUGAUCAGCCACACUGGAACUGAGACACGGUACCAAGAACNNCCUACGUGUAGAGUGCAAGCAAGUAGAGGNGACAUAUUUGGACAAANGGGCGCAAGCCCUUGAUCCCCAGCCAAUAACCAGGCGUAGGCGUUGAAAGCAAGUGCCUUUCCGGGUNAGUAACANGCCCUUNUUUGUUGUGGGACAAUGAAAAUCCACGACUAGGACUAAAUAAACC